rnacentral:sRNA from 1 species
CCUCGUCGAUCUGCUGCGGGCAGAUGAAGUGGAUAUGGCUGUCGAUGCCGCCGGCGGUGACGAUCAUCCCUUCGCCGGCGAUGAUCUCGGUGGCGCCGCCGAUGGCGAUCGUCACGCCCGGCUGAAUGUCCGGAUUGCCGGCCUUGCCGAUGGCAGCGAUGUGGCCGCCCUUGAUGGCGAUGUCGGCCUUGACGAUACCCCAGUGGUCGACGAUCAGCGCAUUGGUGAUCACCGUGUCGGCGACUUCCGCGGCGACCUUCUGGCCCUGCCCCAUGCCGUCGCGGA